rnacentral:ncRNA from 1 species
GUGUGCAAAAAAUAAGAAAUGGUUAGCAGUUCCAAUUACAAGGAUGGAAGUGAUCAUUAUAUAUAUAUUGGGUCAUCCCAUAAAUUAUGUGGGGUUUUUUUUU